GAUUAACGCGAAGAACCUUACCUAGGUUUGACAUAUACGAGAAGCCUCUAGAGAUAGAGGUCUCUUUGGACACUCGUAUACAGGUGGUGCAUGGCUGUCGUCAGCUCGUGUCGUGAGAUGUUGGGUUAAGUCCCGCAACGAGCGCAACCCUCGUCUUAUGUUGCCAGCACGUAAUGGUGGGGACUCAUAAGAGACUGCCGGGGUCAACUCGGAGGAAGGUGGGGAUGACGUCAAGUCAUCAUGCCCCUUAUGCCUAGGGCUUCACGCAUGCUACAAUGGCCGGUACAAAGGGCUGCGAUACCGCAAGGUGGAGCGAAUCCCAAAAAGCCGGUCUCAGUUCGGAUUGGGGUCUGCAACUCGACCCCAUGAAGUCGGAGUCGCUAGUAAUCGCAGAUCAGCAACGCUGCGGUGAAUACGUUCCCGGGCCUUGUACACACCGAAUC
rnacentral:rRNA from 1 species